AGCUUUGCACAGUGGCAGUAUCGUAGCCCAUGAGUUUAUCCGAGGCAUGAUUAUUGCUAAUUGAAAACCCAAGUUCCAGAGGGAAGAAAUGGGAGAAUGUGAAGAGAAAGAUGUCUC
rnacentral:snRNA from 1 species